AGCGAACGCUGGCGGCAGGCCUAACACAUGCAAGUCGAACGAACUCUUCGGAGUUAGUGGCGGACGGGUGAGGAACACGAGGGAACGUGCACAUGGGUACGGCAUAACUCAGGGAAACGUGAGCUAAUACCGUAUGUGCCCUACGGGGGAAAGAUUUAUCGCCAUUGGAGCGGCCCGCGUCUGAUUAGCUAGUUGGUGAGGUAAAGGCUCACCAAGGCCACGAUCAGUAGCUGGUCUGAGUGGAUGCUCAGCCACAUUGGGACUGAGACACGGCCCAAACUCCUACGGGAGGCAGCAGUGGGGAAUCUUGCGCACGGGGCGAGAGCCAGACGCAGCCAUGCCGCGUGAAUGAUGAAGGUCUUAGGAUUGUAAAAUUCUUUCUCCGGGGGCGAUAAUGACGGUACCCGGAGCAGAAGCCCCGGCUAACUUCGUG
rnacentral:rRNA from 1 species